rnacentral:rRNA from 1 species
GGGACGAACGCUGGCGGCGUGCUUAACACAUGCAAGUCGAGCGGUAAGGCCCUUUCGGGGGUACACGAGCGGCGAACGGGUGAGUAACACGUGAGCAAUCUGCCCUUCACUUCGGGAUAAGCCUCGGAAACGGGGUCUAAUACCGGAUAUGACUGCGCCAUGCAUGUGGUGUGGUGGAAAGUUCUGGCGGUGAGGGAUGAGCUCGCGGCCUAUCAGCUUGUUGGUGGGUAAUGGCCUACAAGGCUUCGACGGGUAGCCGGCCUGAGAGGGUGACCGGCCACACUGGGACUGAGACACGGCCCAGACCUCCGUACGGGAGCAGCAGGUGGG